rnacentral:lncRNA from 1 species
GGACCUUGGGAAACCGGCUCUGAGCAUCGCUGUGAGGCAGCCAAGGACUGGAGGCAGGCCGGUGUUUUUAAAUGUGGUGUCCUUCCUAGAGGGCGGUCUGGGAGAGGCUGUGUAACGGAUGUGACUUCUCCCCAACUUGGCUAAUGGGGAUUUACUUUGUCUUUUUACACCCGUGAGAAUGUUCGGGGUCCCAGAGUUCCUUCCUCACUCUUCCAACAGGUUCCAUGAUUUGGGGGCGCCUCUGCCGCAGGCCCUUUCUACCUGAGUGUUCUCUCUUCUGCAACACCCGUUUUAACCCCUUUUAAAGGAAUUGGGGGCUAGCCAGACUAGACUAGGGGCGGCGAAACGCACUGAAGAGAGUUGGAUACAGAAUUUCUUGCAAACGAGGUCGAGUUGCGUCUGGGAUACGGUGUCAUGCCCCACCCCCGCCCCACGACCCUGCCGGCCCCACCUUUCUUUUGCUUCGCCUGCAGAAACCCGCACGGCCUUCAUACGUGCAUUUGAAAUUACCUAAGGGCGUAAGCAAUAUUUCCUCUGUCACGGAUUAAAACUUUCGAUGUAACGGUGUUA